rnacentral:lncRNA from 1 species
CAAAAAAAAAAAAGGAAAAAUAAAAGGACUCUGGCUCUUGAAUUCGGCUACGACUUCGACAACGACAAUCACAACGACUUCUAUAACAAUAGGAGAUAUGCAUGCAUACGCAUAGUGUAAGUGCAUUUUUUUAUCAAUUUGAUCAACCCGACCAUCUUCGUGAUAGGUUUUGAACCGAUAAAAUUUGACAUUAAAUUGUCACUUCCAUUGUGCAUAUGCAUCGCUAAUCUCUAAACCGUGCGUUUUUUUGUCAAUUUGAUCAACCCGACCAUCUUCGUGAUAGGUUUCGAACCGAUCAAAUUUGACAUUAAAUUGUCGCUUCCGUCGUACGCAUCGCUAAUCUCUAAACCGUGCGGCUAUCUUCGUGAUAGGCUCGACAUGGUCAAAAUGAUUGAUCGAACCGGAUAUUUUACUACGUAAACCGUGCGGCCAUCUUCGCGGUAGGCUCAACAUGGUCAAAAUGGGUGAUCGAGCUCCGUUUAUUUCGAUACGUAAACCGUGCGGCCAUCUUUGCGAUAGGUUCGACAUGGUCAAAAGAAUUAAUCGAGCGGCUAUCUUCGUGAUACGCUCGACAUGAUUAAACUCCGCGUACUUGAACAAAACGUGACAAAAAAAUAUAUAUAACAAUAAGAAUGAUAAUAAAAAAUAGACGGGUUCUGUUUUGAUUCAUCAUCUUCGUUCGAUUCGAUCGUAUUGCUUGACGUGAUAAAUUUCGUAUAAAAAAAAAAUGAGAUACGAA